rnacentral:rRNA from 1 species
CACGGGGGGAGCAAGCGUUGUUCGGAAUCACUGGGCGUAAAGGGUACGCAGGCGGGAAGGCAGGUCAGAUGUGAAACCCCAUGGCUCAACCGUGGGCCUGCAUAUGAAACCACCUUUCUUGAGUAUCGGAGAGGAAAGCGGAACUCCUGGUGUAGCGGUGAAAUGCGUAGAUAUCAGGAGGAACACCCGUGGCGAAGGCGGCUUUCUGGCCGAAUACUGACGCUCAUGUACGAAGGCCGGGGGAGCAAACAGGAUUAGAUACCCCUGUA